rnacentral:lncRNA from 1 species
UACAAUGCAUCUCAUUACUUGUGAAAAGUUACAAUUUAAGAUAUAAGAUACAUUCAUCUAGAAGUAUUGACAGCUAUAUCUAGAAAUGCCUCUCGUCUUUUCUUAUCUAGUCUCUAGUGCCGCGUUCAAUCAGCCAAUUCUAGUGGAACUAUGUAUUAGUAGUGAAAAUUUCAAAAAAAAUCUUCACAAAGUUUGAUAUCUAUACUAUAGCAAGUGGUUGUUGACGUAAAUAAUGACUUUUGCUAAAGAUAUUGGAAAGGAGAAAACAAAGUAUCAAGCAUUCAUGACAAAAAACCAUGAGCUUCCAAGUUCCAGCUAUCUAAAU